rnacentral:rRNA from 1 species
GAUGAACGCUGGCGGCGUGCCUAAUACAUGCAAGUCGAACGAAACUUCUUUAUCACCGAGUGCUUGCACUCACCGAUAAAGAGUUGAGUGGCGAACGGGUGUGUAACACGUGGGCAACCUGCCCAAAAGAGGGGGAUAACACUUGGAAACAGGUGCUAAUACCGCAUAACCAUAGUUACCGCAUGGUAACUAUGUAAAAGGUGGCUAUACUACCGCUUUUGGAUGGGCCCGCGGCGCAUUAGCUAGUUGGUAGGGUAAAGGCUUACCAAGGCAAUGAUGCGUAGCCGAAUUGAGAGGUUGAUCGGCCACAUUGGGACUGAGACACGGCCCAAACUCCUACGGGAGGCAGCAGUAGGGAAUCUUCCACAAUGGGCGAAAGCCUGAUGGAGCAACGCCGCGUGGGUGAAGAAGGUCUUCGGAUCGUAAAACCCUGUUGUUAGAGAAGAAAGUGCGUGAGAGUAACUGUUCACGUUUCGACGGUAUCUAACCAGAAAGCCACGGCUAACUACGUG